UACAGAGGUCUCAAGCGUUGUUCGGAUUCAUUGGGCGUAAAGGGUGCGUAGGCGGCGCGGUAAGUCGGGUGUGAAAUCUUGGAGCUUAACUCCGAAACUGCAUUCGAUACUGCCGUGCUUGAGGACUGGAGAGGAGACUGGAAUUUACGGUGUAGCGGUGAAAUUCGUAGAUAUUCGGAGGAACACCAGUGGCGAAGGCGGCUCACUGGUCCAUUACUGACGCUGAGGUGCGAAAGCGUGGGGAGCAAACAGG
rnacentral:rRNA from 1 species